CCCCUAGAUGUCCCGGGCCGCACGCGCAAUACAAUGUAAAGUUCAGAAAGCAUAUCCUGUUCCGGAAGGCAAUGGGUAAUCUUUUCAAUAUUUUACGUGUUAGGGAUCGAUCUUUGCAAUUAUAGAUCUUGAACGAGGAAUACCUAGUAAGUGCAGCUCAUCAGGCUGUACUGAUUACGUCCCUGCCCUUUGUACACACCGCCCGUCGCUCCUACCGAUUUCGAGUGGUCCGGUGAAUCUUUUGGAAUUAGAGUGCAAACUCAAACUAAGAUCGAUAAACCUUAUCACUUAGAGGAAGGAGAAGUCGUAACA
rnacentral:rRNA from 1 species